rnacentral:rRNA from 1 species
CCUACGGGUGGCUGCAGUGAGGAAUAUUGGUCAAUGGCCGGAAGGCUGAACCAGCCAAGCCGCGUGAAGGACGAAGGUUCCAAGCAUUUUAAACUUCUUUUGUCAAGGGACAAAUUCAAGCUCGAGAGCCGGACCGUGGGUACUUGAAUAAAAAGCAUCGGCUAACUCCGUGCCAGCAGCCGCGGUAAUCCGGAGGAUGAGAGCGUUAUCCGGAUUUAUUGGGGUUAAAGGGGUCGUAGGGGGAAUGUUAAGUCAGCGUUAAAAGCCCGGGGUUAAACCCCGGAGAGCCGUUGAAACUGGCUGUCUUGAGAUGUGGAGAGGAAAGCGGAAUGCGCAGUGUAGCGGUGAAAUGCGUAGAUAUUACGCAGAACUCCGGUUGCGAAGGCAGCAUACCGGCGGCGAUCUGACGCUGAGGCACGAAAGCGUGGGUAUCGAACAGGAUUAGAUACCCGGGUAGUC